rnacentral:rRNA from 1 species
GACGAACGCUGGCGGCGUGCUUAACACAUGCAAGUCGAACGAAGUGGCGGACGGGUGAGUAACGCGUAAUCAACCUGCUCUUCUGAGGGGGACAACAGUUGGAAACGACUGCUAAUACCGCAUACUGAAGGAGGGGCUUGCGUCGGAUUUGCUAGUUGGGGGGGGAACGGCCACCCAAGGCGAUGAUCGGUAGCCGGUCUGGGAGGAUGAACGGCCAAAUUGGGACUGGGACACGGCCCAGACUCCUACGGGGGGCAGCAGUGGGGGAUCUUCCGGAAUGGACGAAAGUCUGGCGGAGCAACGCCGCGUGAGUGAUGACGGCCUUCGGGUUGUAAAGAUCUGUUAAUCGGGACGCGGUACCGGAAUAGAAAGCCACGGCUAACUACGUGCCAGCAGCCGCGGUAAUUC